UUUUUAGCUCACCUGGCCCGAAGGGCCAAGUGAGCUUUUCCCAUCACUUGGCGUCCGGCGUCCGUCGUCGUCAUCGUCGUCGUCCGUCGUCGUUAACUUUUACAAAAAUCUUCUCCUCUGAAACUACUGGGCCAAAUUUAACCAAACUUGGCCACAAUCAUCAUUGGGGUAUCUUGUUAAAAAAAUGUGUGGCGUGACCCGGC
rnacentral:lncRNA from 1 species